UGCAGGCCUCUGUGUGAUAUGUUUGAUAUAUUAGGUUGUUAUUUGAUCCAACUAUAUAUCAAACAUAUUCCUACAGUGUCUUGCC
rnacentral:pre_miRNA from 1 species